AGUCGUAACAAGGUUUCCGUAGGUGAACCUGCGGAAGGAUCAUUAACACAUAAGUCCAUUUGAUGGUAAUGAAGUGUUUUAGAAGGGAGUUAAAUCCUUUUUGAACCUUUGUUAUCAUUCAAACAACAUAGUAAAUUAGUUGAAGUCCUCAACCCUAUCAUUAACUUGAUUGCGUUAGAGAGUGUAUUUCAAAGAGUGAAAUCAAGUUCAAUCAUUUUUAUUAGUGAUUCGACUGAUGUUUACAACAAAACAAAAAACAAUAUAUAAACCAAGACAACUUGUAACAGUGGAUACCUUGGUUCCCAG
rnacentral:misc_RNA from 1 species